GCUUCCUUAGCUCAGCUGGUUAGAGCGUGGUGCUAAUAACGCCAAGGUCUUGGGUUCGAUCCCCGAAGGAAGCA